AGAGUUUGAUCCUGGCUCAGGAUGAACGCUAGCGGCAGGCUUAAUACAUGCAAGUCGAGGGGCAGCAGGGGUAGCAAUACCCGCUGGCGACCGGCAAACGGGUGCGGAACACGUACGCAACCUUCCUUUAACUGGAGAAUAGCCCCUCGAAAGAGGGAUUAAUACUCCGUAACAUAUUGAUAAGGCAUCUUAUUAAUAUUAUAGUCUUCGGGCGGUUAAAGAUGGGCGUGCGCCUGAUUAGAUAGUUGGUGAGGUAACGGCUCACCAAGUCUGCGAUCAGUAACUGGUGUGAGAGCACGACCAGUCACACGGGCACUGAGACACGGGCCCGACUCCUACGGGAGGCAGCAGUAAGGAAUAUUGGUCAAUGGACGCAAGUCUGAACCAGCCAUGCCGCGUGGAGGAUUAAGGCCCUCUGGGUUGUAAACUCCUUUUAUCUGGGAAGAAAUGCCAUUUUUCUAAAUGGUUUGACGGUACCAGAGGAAUAAGCACCGGCUAACUCCGUGCCAGCAGCCGCGGUAAUACGGAGGGUGCAAGCGUUAUCCGGAUUCACUGGGUUUAAAGGGUGCGUAGGCGGGCAGGUAAGUCCGUGGUGAAAUCUCUGAGCUUAACUCAGAAACUGCCAUGGAAUACUAUUUGUCUUGAAUACUGGGAGGUAAAGCGGGAAUAUGUCAUGUACGGGA
rnacentral:rRNA from 1 species